CCUACGGGAGGCAGCAGUGGGGAAUUUUGCGCAAUGGGGGAAACCCUGACGCAGCGACGCCGCGUGGAGGAUGAAGGUCUUCGGAUUGUAAACUCCUUUUGUCGGGGAAGAUAAUGACGGUACCCGAUGAAUAAGCCACGGCUAACUCUGUGCCAGCAGCCGCGGUAAGACAGAGGUGGCAAGCGUUGUUCGGAAUUACUGGGCUUAAAGGGCGCGUAGGCGGUGGAGUAAGUCUGAGGUGGAAGAUUAGGGCUUAACCCUAAAAUUGCCUUGGAAACUGCAUCACUUGAGUCAGCGAGGGGAUGGCGGAAUUCCAGGUGUAGCGGUGAAAUGCGUAGAUAUCUGGAGGAAGGCCGGUGGCGAAGGCGGCCAUCUGGCGCUGAACUGACGCUGAGGCGCGAAAGCGUGGGGAGCAAACAGGAUUAGAUACCCUGGUAGUCCACGCUGUAAACGAUGGGCACUAGGUGUGGGGGGUAUCCACUCCUCCCGUGCCGCAGCUAACGCAUUAAGUGCCCCGCCUGGGGAGUACGGCCGCAAGGUUAAAACUCAAAGGAAUUGACGG
rnacentral:rRNA from 1 species